GUUGAACGCUGGCGGCAUGCCUUACACAUGCAAGUCGAACGGUAACAGGUCUUCGGAUGCUGACGAGUGGCGAACGGGUGAGUAAUACAUCGGAACGUGCCUAGUAGUGGGGGAUAACUACUCGAAAGAGUGGCUAAUACCGCAUGAGAUCUACGGAUGAAAGCAGGGGAUCGCAAGACCUUGUGCUACUAGAGCGGCCGAUGGCAGAUUAGGUAGUUGGUGGGAUAAAAGCUUACCAAGCCGACGAUCUGUAGCUGGUCUGAGAGGACGAUCAGCCACACUGGGACUACGACACGGCCCAGACUCCUACGGGAGGCAGCAGUGAGGAAUGUUGGACAAUGGGCGAAAGCCUGAUCCAGCAAUGCCGCGUGCAGGAUGAAGGCCUUCGGGUUGUAAACUGCUUUUGUACGGAACGAAAAGCCCCGGGUUAAUACCCUGGGGUCAUGACGGUACCGUAAGAAUAAGCACCGGCUAACUACGUGCCAGCCGCCGCAGUAA
rnacentral:rRNA from 1 species